rnacentral:rRNA from 1 species
GGGGGAUAUUGCACAAUGGAGGAAACUCUGAUGCAGCAACGCCGCGUGAGUGAAGAAGGUUUUCGGAUUGUAAAGCUCUGUCAUCUGGGACGAUAAUGACGGUACCAGAUGAGGAAGCCACGGCUAACUACGUGCCAGCAGCCGCGGUAAUACGUAGGUGGCAAGCGUUGUCCGGAAUUACUGGGCGUAAAGGGUGCGCAGGCGGACAUUUAAGUGAGAUGUGAAAGACCCGGGCUUAACUUGGGCAGUGCAUUUCAAACUGGAUGUCUGGAGUGCAGGAGAGGAGAACGGAAUUCCUAGUGUAGCGGUGAAAUGCGUAGAGAUUAGGAAGAACACCAGUGGCGAAGGCGGUUCUCUGGACUGUAACUGACGCUGAGGCACGAAAGCGUGGGGAGCAAAC